rnacentral:rRNA from 1 species
AGUUUGAUCAUGGCUCAGGACGAACGCUGGCGGCGUGCUUAACACAUGCAAGUCGAACGAUGAAGCCCUUCGGGGUGGAUUAGUGGCGAACGGGUGAGUAACACGUGGGCAAUCUGCCCUUCACUCUGGGACAAGCCCUGGAAACGGGGUCUAAUACCGGAUAACACCGGCUUCCGCAUGGGAGCUGGUUAAAAGCUCCGGCGGUGAAGGAUGAGCCCGCGGCCUAUCAGCUUGUUGGUGGGGUAAUGGCCUACCAAGGCGACGACGGGUAGCCGGCCUGAGAGGGCGACCGGCCACACUGGGACUGAGACACGGCCCAGACUCCUACGGGAGGCAGCAGUGGGGAAUAUUGCACAAUGGGCGAAAGCCUGAUGCAGCGACGCCGCGUGAGGGAUGACGGCCUUCGGGUUGUAAACCUCUUUCAGCAG